UACGGGGGGGGCAAGCGUUGUUCGGAAUUACUGGGCGUAAAGGGCGCGUAGGCGGCCUUCUAAGUCGGACGUGGAAUCCCUCGGCUUAACCGAGGAACUGCGUCCGAUACUGAAAGGCUUGAAUCCGGGAGAGGGAUGUGGAAUUCCAGGUGUAGCGGUGAAAUGCGCAGAUAUCAGGAAGAACACCCGUGGCUAAGGCGGUUCUCUAGUACGGUACUGACGCUGAGACGCGAAAGCGUGGGGAGCGAACAGG
rnacentral:rRNA from 1 species